rnacentral:rRNA from 1 species
GAUGAACGCUGGCGGUAUGCUUAACACAUGCAAGUCGAACGAAAUCUUCGGAUUUAGUGGCGGACGGGUGAGUAACGCGUGAGAAUCUGGCCUUGGGUUCGGGACAACCACUGGAAACGGUGGCUAAUACCGGAUGUGCAGAGAUGCAAAAGAUUAAUUGCCUGAGGAUGAGCUCGCGUCUGAUUAGCUAGUUGGUGGGGUAAAGGCCUACCAAGGCGGCGAUCAGUAGCUGGUCUGAGAGGACGAUCAGCCACACUGGGACUGAGACACGGCCCAGACUCCUACGGGAGGCAGCAGUGGGGAAUUUUCCGCAAUGGGCGAAAGCCUGACGGAGCAAUACCGCGUGAGGGAGGAAGGCUCUUGGGUUGUAAACCUCUUUUCUCAGGGAAGAACAAAAUGACGGUACCUGAGGAAUAAGCAUCGGCUAACUCCGUGCCAGCAGCCGCGGUAAUACGGAGGAUGCAAGCGUUAUCCGGAAUGAUUGGGCGUAAAGCGUCCGCAGGUGGCUGUGUAAGUCUGCUGUUAAAGAGUCUAGCUCAACUAGAUACAAGCAGUGGAAACUACACGGCUAGAGUACGUUCGGGGCAGAGGGAAUUCCUGGUGUAGCGGUGAAAUGCGUAGAGAUCAGGAAGAACACCGGUGGCGAAGGCGCUCUGCUAGGCCGUAACUGACACUGAGGGACGAAAGCUAGGGGAGCGAAUGGGAUUAGAUACCCCAGUAGUCCUAGCCGUAAACGAUGGAUACUAGGCGUGGCUUGUAUCGACCCGAGCCGUGCCGUAGCUAACGCGUUAAGAUCCCGCCUGGGGACGUACGCCGGCAACGGUGAAACUCAAAGGAAUUGACGGGGGUCCGCACAAGCGGUGGAGUAUGUGGUUUAAUUGGAUGCAACGUGAAGAACCUUACCAAGGCUUGACAUGUCGCGAAUCUUCUCGAAAGGGAAGAGUGCCUUAGGGAGCGCGAACACAGGUGGUGCAUGGCUGUCGUCAGCUCGUGUCGAGAGAUGUUGGGUUAAGUCCCGCAACGAGCGCAACCCUCGUUUUUAGUUGCCAGCAUUAAGUUGGGCACUCUAGAGAGACUGCCGGUGACAAACCGGAGGAAGGUGGGGAUGACGUCAAGUCAGCAUGCCCCUUACGCCUUGGGCUACACACGUACUACAAUGCUCCGGACAGAGGGCAGCAAGCAUGCGAAUGCAAGCAAAUCCCGUAAACCGGAGCUCAGUUCAGAUCGCAGGCUGCAACUCGCCUGCGUGAAGGAGGAAUCGCUAGUAAUUGCAGGUCAGCAUACUGCAGUGAAUUCGUUCCCGGGCCU